GGCUCCCUACGGGGCGCAGCAGAAGGGAAUCUUCCACAAUGGACGAAAGUCUGAUGGAGCAACGCCGCGUGAGUGAAGAAGGGUUUCGGCUCGUAAAGCUCUGUUGGUAGUGAAGAAAGAUAGAGGUAGUAACUGGCCUUUAUUUGACGGUAAUUACUUAGAAAGUCACGGCUAACUACGUGCCAGCAGCCGCGGUCAUACGUAGGUGGCAAGCGUUGGCCGGAUUUAUUGGGCGUAAAGCGAGUGCAG
rnacentral:rRNA from 1 species